rnacentral:siRNA from 1 species
AUGGAGAGACCGCCGGUAGGAG